rnacentral:rRNA from 1 species
CACGUAGGGCGCAAGCGUUGUCCGGAAUUAUUGGGCGUAAAGAGCUCGUAGGCGGUCUGUUACGUCUGCUGUGAAAACUCGGGGCUUAACCCCGAGCCUGCAGUGGAUACGGGCAGACUAGAGGUAGGUAGGGGAGAAUGGAAUUCCCGGUGUAGCGGUGAAAUGCGCAGAUAUCGGGAGGAACACCGGUGGCGAAGGCGGCAUCCUGGACCAACACUGACGCUGAGGAGCGAAAGCCAGGGGAGCAAACGGG